AUGCUCUCUGGCUUCGGUCAGCUGAGUUCAAUGAGUGCCUUCUCUUCGGAGUUGGCCAUCCACACACACCGUGAACUGUGGCUUCGGCCAUCACAAACUGUUAGUAAUGAAUGUAAUAUCAUAACAAAAACAAAACUUUUAACAACGGAUCUCUUGGCUCUCGCAUCGAUGAAGAACGCAGCGAAAUGCGAUAAGUAAUGUGAAUUGCAGAAUUCAGUGAAUCAUCGAAUCUUUGAACGCACCUUGCGCCCUUUGGUAUUCCGAAGGGCAUGCCUGUUUGAGUGUCAUGAAACCUCACCCCACUUGGGUUUUUGCCUGAGCGGUGGUGUAUUGGGUGUUGCCUUGCCAAAGGCUCGCCUUAAAAACAUAAGCACCUUGGAUGUAAUACGUUUCAUCCUUUCGGGUGGCUGAUAACCCCACAUAUUCAUGAUCUGGCCUCAAAUCAGGUAGGGCUACCCGCUGAACUUAAGCAUAUCAAUAAGCGGAGGAAAAGAAACUAACUAGGAUUCCCUUAGUAACGGCGAGUGAACCGGGAUGAGCUCAAAUUUGAAAUCUGGCGUCUUUCAGGCGUCCGAGUUGUAAUCUAUAGAGGCGUUUUCCGCGCCGGACCGCGUCCAAGUCUCUUGGAAUAGAGUAUCAAAGAGGGUGACAAUCCCGUACUUGACGCGACAACCGGUGCUCUGUGAUACGUUCUCAAUGAGUCGAGUUGUUUGGGAAUGCAGCUCUAAAUGGGUGGUAAAUUCCAUCUAAGGCUAAAUAUUGGCGAGAGACCGAUAGCGAACAAGUACCGUGAGGGAAAGAUGAAAAGCACUUUGGAAAGAGAGUUAAACAGCACGUGAAAUUGUUAAAAGGGAAACGAUUGAAGUCAGUCGUGUGGGAAGUAUUCAGCCGUCUCUGGCGGUGUAUUUGCUUCUCACGGGUCAACAUCAGUUUGAUCCGGUAGAAAAAGGCUGGAAGAAGGUGGCACCCUCGGGUGUGUUAUAGCUUCCUGUCAUAUGUGCCGGACCAGACUGAGGAACGCAGCUUGCAGCAAUGCCGGGAUUCGUCCACGUACAAGCUUAGGAUGUUGACA
rnacentral:misc_RNA from 1 species